rnacentral:rRNA from 1 species
UGCAGUCGAACGGUAGCACAGAGGAGCUUGCUCCUUGGGUGACGAGUGGCGGACGGGUGAGUAAUGUCUGGGAAACUGCCCGAUGGAGGGGGAUAACUACUGGAAACGGUAGCUAAUACCGCAUAACGUCGCAAGACCAAAGAGGGGGACCUUCGGGCCUCUUGCCAUCGGAUGUGCCCAGAUGGGAUUAGCUAGUAGGUGGGGUAACGGCUCACCUAGGCGACGAUCCCUAGCUGGUCUGAGAGGAUGACCAGCCACACUGGAACUGACACACGGCCCACACUCCUACGGGAGGCAGCAGUGGGGAAUAUUGCACAAUGGGCGCAAGCCUGAUGCAGCCAUGCCGCGUGUAUGAAGAAGGCCUUCGGGUUGUAAAGUACUUUCAGCGAGGAGGAAGGCAUUGUGGUUAAUAACCUUAGCGAUUGACGUUACUCACAAAAGAA